rnacentral:rRNA from 1 species
AUGGCUCAGGACGAACGCUGGCGGCGUGCCUAAUACAUGCAAGUCGAACGGUCUUUCUAUGGAAGCUUGCUUCCACUGAAAAGAUAGUGGCGAACGGGUGAGUAACACGUGGGUAACCUGCCCAUAAGAGGGGGAUAACAUCCGGAAACGGGUGCUAAUACCGCAUAGUUUUCUUGAUCGCAUGAUCGGGAAAGGAAAGACGGCCUUUGUGCUGUCGCUUAUGGAUGGACCCGCGGCGUAUUAGUUAGUUGGUGAGGUAACGGCUCACCAAGACGAUGAUACGUAGCCGACCUGAGAGGGUGAUCGGCCACAUUGGGACUGAGACACGGCCCAAACUCCUACGGGAGGCAGCAGUAGGGAAUCUUCCGCAAUGGACGAAAGUCUGACGGAGCAACGCCGCGUGAGUGAAGAAAAGGUUUUCGGAUCGUAAAACUCUGUUGUCAGAGAAGAACAAGUUGGAGAGUAACUGCUCCAGCCUUGACGGUAUCUGACCAGAAAGCCACGGCUAACUACGUGCCAGCCGCCGC